AGGGCGUAUUCCGAAAAGCCCGAUUUUGAACAGAGUAGGAA
rfam:Myroides odoratus DSM 2801 chromosome, whole genome shotgun sequence.